ensembl:snoRNA Gm24945 predicted gene, 24945
CGGUCACCUCUGGCAAUACGAGUUUAAGAAAAACAGCAACAACGCUGUGACCAAAGAUUGAUGUUCUUCACAGAGAAAAUCCUGCACUGUUUUGAUAGUGCUGUGUUUUUCUGAGAAGAUAACAUA